CGUCUAGAGGCCUAGGACAUCGCCCUUUCACGGCGGUAACCGGGGUUCGAAUCCCCGUAGGGACGCCA
rnacentral:tRNA from 42 species